UAUAAGACUGGGAUAACUUCGGGAAACCGGAGCUAAUGCCGGAUAACAUUUGGAACCGCAUGGUUCUAAAGUAAAAGAUGGUUUUGCUAUCACUUAUAGAUGGACCCGCGCCGUAUUAGCUAGUUGGUAAGGUAACGGCUUACCAAGGCAACGAUACGUAGCCGACCUGAGAGGGUGAUCGACCACACUGGAACUGAGACACGGUCCAGACUCCUACGGGAGGCAGCAGUAGGGAAUCUUCCGCAAUGGACGAAAGUCUGACGGAGCAACGCCGCGUGAGUGAUGAAGGUUUUCGGAUCGUAAAACUCUGUUAUUAGGGAAGAACAAAUGUGUAAGUAACUGUGCACAUCUUGACGGUACCUAAUCAGAAAGCCACGGCUAACUACGUGCCAGCAGCCGCGGUAAUACGUAGGUGGCAAGCGUUAUCCGGAAUUAUUGGGCGUAAAGCGCGCGUAGGCGGUUUCUUAAGUCUGAUGUGAAAGCCCACGGCUCAACCGUGGAGGGUCAUUGGAAACUGGGAAACUUGAGUACAGAAGAGGAAAGUGGAAUUCCAUGUGUGGCGGUGAAAUGCGCAGAGAUAUGGAGGAACACCAGUGGCGAAGGCGACUUUCUGGUCUGUAACUGACGCUGAUGUGCGAAAGCGUGGGGAUCAAACAGGAUUAGAUACCCUGGUAGUCCACGCCGUAAACGAUGAGUGCUAAGUGUUAGGGGGUUUCCGCCCCUUAGUGCUGCAGCUAACGCAUUAAGCACUCCGCCUGGGGAGUACGACCGCAAGGUUGAAACUCAAG
rnacentral:rRNA from 1 species